CCUACGGGUGGCAGCAGUGAGGAAUAUUGGUCAAUGGACGCAAGUCUGAACCAGCCAUGCCGCGUGCAGGAAGACGGCUCUAUGAGUUGUAAACUGCUUUUGUACGAGGGUAAACGCAGAUACGCGUAUCUGUCUGAAAGUAUCGUACGAAUAAGGAUCGGCUAACUCCGUGCCAGCAGCCGCGGUAAAACGGAGGAUUCAAGCGUUAUCCGGAUUUAAUGGGUUUAAAGGGUACGUCAGCGGUCGGAUAAGUUAGGGGGGAAAUCCCGGGGCUCAAAUUCGGAAUUGCCUCUGAUACUUUUCGGCUAGAGGGUAGUUGCGGUAGGCGGAAUGUAUGGUGUAGCGGUGAAAUGCUUAGAGAUCAUACAGAACACCGAUUGCGAAGGCAGCUUACCAAGCUACUUCUGACGUUGAGGCACGAAAGCGUGGGGAGCAAACAGGAUUAGAUACCCGGGUAGUC
rnacentral:rRNA from 1 species